GCGAUGAGCUCAUUUGCGUAAGACGGACGGACAUUCCUUUUAGGAACAUGUUGUGGAGCAUGGUCUGGACGCCGCAAAUUUCGAGAAAACACUCUGUCUUCUGACAGGGUGUU
rnacentral:sRNA from 1 species